CUUGUAUUCUCAUGGCUGUGCAGGGAUUUAACCACGACCGCGUCUAGUAAAAGGUCGAAGACCAAGACCAACAAGAAGCGCCCUCAGCACGCAACAUCCAAUGUGUUUGCCAUGUUUGACCAGUCACAGAUUCAGGAGUUCAAAGAGGCCUUCAACAUGAUUGAUCAGAACAGAGAUGGCUUCAUUGACAAGGAAGAUUUGCAUGAUAUGCUUGCCCCACUAGGGAAAAAUCCAACUGAUGAGUAUCUGGAUGCCAUGAUGAAUGAGGCUCCUGGCCCCAUCAAUAUCACCAUGUUCCUCACCAUGUUUGGUGAGAAGUUAAAUGGCACAGAUCCAGAAGAUGUCAUCAGAAAUGCUUUUGCUUGCUUUGAUGAAGAAGCAACUGGGACCAUUCAGAAAGAUUACCUGAGAAAGCUGCUGACAAUCAUGGGAGAUUGGUUUAUAGACGAGGAAGUGGAUGAGCUGUACAGAGAAGCCCCCAUUGACAAAAAGGGGAAUUUCAAUCACAUGGAGUUCACGCACAUCCUUAAACAUGGAGCAAAAGACAAAGGUGACUGAAAAGAACUUCAGAUUCCAGCCAAACGUUCCUUGUUGCCACUUUGGGUAUUUCUGAGAUUUUCUCUUAGAGCCUGUUGCAUGCCCUUAGCUUUAUAGCUUUUGCUUUUCUUGUUGUAUUUAUUCUCAGCCAUUUUGGGUAUACGUAUCUUUAUAAUCAGACUGGAAAUGGGACUUUUUAUCAUUUUCAGAUUAGAAAAUACGGUAAUUUAACUUACCAGCUCCUAUCCCCCCAAUAACUGCAGUCUACAGAGUCAAUAUAUUUUUUCAGAGAAAGUUAUUCACUCAAUUUUUUUCUGAACCAUAAUUAAACUUUACAAUAAAAUAC